rnacentral:rRNA from 1 species
GACGAACGCUGGCGGCGUGCUUAACACAUGCAAGUCGAACGGAAAGGCCCUGCUUUUGUGGGGUUCUCGUGUGGCGAACGGGUGAGUAACACGUGAGUAACCUGCCCUUGACUUUGGGAUAACUUCAGGAAACUGGGGCUAAUACCGGAUAGGAGCUCCUGCUGCAUGGUGGGGGUUGGAAAGUUUCGGCGGUUGGGGAUGGACUCGCGGCUUAUGAGCUUGUUGGUGGGGUAGUGGCUUACCAAGCCUUUGACGGGUAGCCGGCCUGAGAGGGUGACCGGCCACAUUGGGACUGAGAUACGGCCCAGACUCCUACGGUAGGCAGCAGUGGGGAAUAUUGCACAAUGGGCGGAAGCGUGAUGCAGCAGCGCCGCGUGCGGGAUGACGGCCUUCGGGUUGUAAACCGCUUUCGCCUGUGACGAGGCGUGAGUGACGGUAAUGAGUAAAGAAGCACCGGCUAACUACGUG